rnacentral:misc_RNA from 1 species
CAGUUUCAAUAAAUACACCAACUUGAUCUGUGCACCGACCUAAGGUCCUAGGAGACAAAGGAAUACUUUUAAGCGCACCGAAGAAGAAAUACUGGCCGACCUCUCAAUGACAUCGGAAGCGAUCCCAACAGCAAACGAAUGGAAUAGAAGAAGUCCAAGACAUCGAUGUGCGGCCUUCCACUUCAAACUCCAACAAAAGAAAAUCAAAAGCAAUGGCAGGAUUUGAAGAAAAGUUCCUGAUUGUAGAGGAAAAAAAAGUUAAAAUAAUGGAGAAUUUAAAUUUAAAAAAGAUAAGCAAAAACUCAAUGUAGAAAAGUUUAGAGCCGAAGGAAUUUAUAGAAAUAAGCAAUUAGAUUUCGAAUUAGAAAAAUGCAAUUAAAAGAAACGGAAUUUGAAUGGAAAAAACAAAACUAGGUUAAUGUUU